GACUAUUGUGGUCUUCAACACAUAUACGGUUAAGGCAAUGCCACCUACUUCGUGGCAUCUCUAACCAAGUUGUU